UCUGCCUACGGGGCGCAGCAGUAGGGAAUUUUCGUCAAUGGGCGCAAGCCUGAACGAGCAAUGCCGCGUGAACGAGGAAGGUCUUCGGAUCGUAAAGUUCUGUUGAAGGGGAAAAAGAGCGGAGAGAGGAAAUGGUCUCCGAUUGAUAUUACACUUCGAGGAAGUCACGGCUAACUACGUGCCAGCAGACGCGGUAAUACGUAGGUGGCGAGCGUUAUCCGGAAUGAUUGGGCGUAAAGGGUGGGUAGGCGGCAUGCUAAGUAUGGAGUGAAAGGUACCGGCUC
rnacentral:rRNA from 1 species